UACGGAGGGUGCAAGCGUUAUCCGGAAUCACUGGGUUUAAAGGGUGCGUAGGCGGCUUAAUAAGUCAUGGGUGAAAGUUUUCGGCUCAACCGGAAAAUUGCCUGUGAAACUGUUAGGCUUGAAUCAAGAUGAGGUUGGCGGAAUGUGACAUGUAGCGGUGAAAUGCAUAGAUAUGUCAUGGAAUACCGAAUGCGAAGGCAGCUGACUAGACUUCGAUUGACGCUGAGGCACGAAAGCGUGGGUAGCGAACAGG
rnacentral:rRNA from 1 species